rnacentral:lncRNA from 1 species
AGGUAACCAAAAUUGUCUGGAUUAUAUAGGGAGGGGCCCCUGGGGGAAGGACAACCCACCUCAGGCCUGGAGAAGUUUAGAGUAGGUGACAGAGUAUACCAGCCAUUGGUGGUAAUAUACAGUAUUGCCACCUGUAAUAGGUAGGUAUUGAAGGAUACUGGAAGAAGCUGGCAGCCAGGUCCACUUUGUUAAGUUAAAUAGUCACCUCAGCCAUUUGUAUGAAACCUAACACUCUGUAAGACUCACUCAAUUGCACUGGUAUCUGCUGAACUCUUUGCUAAGCGGUUUGACUUUUAAGUGAGUUCCUGGCCUCUGUAUAAAGAAUGACCUACUGGCCAAGCAGCCAGCGAGACACCUCAGAUACAGGGGUGAAAAUGUGGCCAGGACAAAGAAAGCAGACGCCUCAGCUUCCUUGUUCAUGGCUCUGAGCUUGCCUGUGUACAACUUUUACGUUUUCAAUUUCUGCCUCCAAAAUUCUGUGAUGAACCCAUUUUACAGACAUGUAAAUGGAGAACUGAAGCUAAAAGAGAGGAGGAGAGGCUACAGAACAGACAAGAUGUGAAGGGGACAGAAAGGGAGGGAAAGAAACAAGGACUAGAGAAGCUUUCCUUGACAACAAUCUGUUCUUUUUCCUAUUGAAAUGAAAAUCCCCCUUAAAUUACCACCUGACUUGAAAGCAUAAGAAAACAUCUGGUUUAAUUACAGUGAAUUUACAUGAACCCACUGACAAGAAGCACAGUUAAAAUUAGCAAUUUUAGUGUGCUUUUUUUUUAAGAGAAUGAAAUUAUAAAGUAAUUAACCUUUGUUGUAGAACUCUGUCAAGAGGAUGGAAAGUUCCAUGCUGUGACAGAAGAAGAAAUGAAAUUGUGGACAAGGAAAGUGUGGGUUCAUUAAAGAAUUAUAC